rnacentral:rRNA from 2 species
CCGGCGGUGUGCCUAAUACAUGCAAGUCGAACGCGUUGGCCCAAUUGAUUGAUGGUGCUUGCACCUGAUUGAUUUUGGUCGCCAACGAGUGGCGGACGGGUGAGUAACACGUAGGUAACCUGCCCAGAAGCGGGGGACAACAUUUGGAAACAGAUGCUAAUACCGCAUAACAGCGUUGUUCGCAUGAACAACGCUUAAAAGAUGGCUUCUCGCUAUCACUUCUGGAUGGACCUGCGGUGCAUUAGCUUGUUGGUGGGGUAACGGCCUACCAAGGCGAUGAUGCAUAGCCGAGUUGAGAGACUGAUCGGCCACAAUGGGACUGAGACACGGCCCAUACUCCUACGGGAGGCAGCAGUAGGGAAUCUUCCACAAUGGGCGCAAGCCUGAUGGAGCAACACCGCGUGAGUGAAGAAGGGUUUCGGCUCGUAAAGCUCUGUUGUUAAAGAAGAACACGUAUGAGAGUAACUGUUCAUACGUUGACGGUAUUUAACCAGAAAGUCACGGCUAACUACGUGCCAGCAGCCGCGGUAAUACGUAGGUGGCAAGCGUUAUCCGGAUUUAUUGGGCGUAAAGAGAGUGCAGGCGGUUUUCUAAGUCUGAUGUGAAAGCCUUCGGCUUAACCGGAGAAGUGCAUCGGAAACUGGAUAACUUGAGUGCAGAAGAGGGUAGUGGAACUCCAUGUGUAGCGGUGGAAUGCGUAGAUAUAUGGAAGAACACCAGUGGCGAAGGCGGCUACCUGGUCUGCAACUGACGCUGAGACUCGAAAGCAUGGGUAGCGAACAGGAUUAGAUACCCUGGUAGUCCAUGCCGUAAACGAUGAGUGCUAGGUGUUGGAGGGUUUCCGCCCUUCAGUGCCGGAGCUAACGCAUUAAGCACUCCGCCUGGGGAGUACGACCGCAAGGUUGAAACUCAAAGGAAUUGACGGGGGCCCGCACAAGCGGUGGAGCAUGUGGUUUAAUUCGAAGCUACGCGAAGAACCUUACCAGGUCUUGACAUCUUGCGCCAACCCUAGAGAUAGGGCGUUUCCUUCGGGAACGCAAUGACAGGUGGUGCAUGGUCGUCGUCAGCUCGUGUCGUGAGAUGUUGGGUUAAGUCCCGCAACGAGCGCAACCCUUGUUACUAGUUGCCAGCAUUAAGUUGGGCACUCUAGUGAGACUGCCGGUGACAAACCGGAGGAAGGUGGGGACGACGUCAGAUCAUCAUGCCCCUUAUGACCUGGGCUACACACGUGCUACAAUGGACGGUACAACGAGUCGCGAACUCGCGAGGGCAAGCAAAUCUCUUAAAACCGUUCUCAGUUCGGACUGCAGGCUGCAACUCGCCUGCACGAAGUCGGAAUCGCUAGUAAUCGCGGAUCAGCAUGCCGCGGUGAAUACGUUCCCGGGCCUUGUACACACCGCCCGUCACACCAUGAGAGUUUGUAACACCCAAAGUCGGUGGGGUAACCUUUUAGGAGCCAGCCGCCUAAGGUGGGACAGA